GGACCACAACACUUCUGCCUCCAACGCAAAGGACAAGCCGGGGUGACCAAAUAGACCUUCACACUGUCCCUGAGAAAUCACACCCUUUAUGUUCCUUGUGUAGCUUCUUUCUCUAUGAAGGUUUUUGAUAGCCGCAAAGAACACGCGCCCACCCAAGGCAGAAGAGGAAUAAGAGCGGUUAUCUCUAGUUCCAGCCAGAACUGGGCUCCCAUUUACAGGCUUCCAAGAUUUUGCGUAAAUGAACAUUAUCAGAAAGCCUUGCACAGGAAGGGAAUUGUGUGCUCAAAAAGUUUAUCUUUGCCGAUUAUCAUUAAUCAUUGGUGUGUUUUCUGGGGAAUUCAAGCCCCGGCCAAGGUCCCGUUUCUUUAAUGUUUAUUUUGACAGUUUUUACAAGGCGGGUCAGCCUCAGAUCCCUUAGAACAUACUCCCGGAAGGCUAUCCCAGUGGGGCAGAACCAUGGCUCUCUGUGAGAGUGCUAUGUAUGCUCCUCAUUUUGGUGGAUCCGUGCUACCCAGCUUUCCCCUGCACCUCCCAUGGUCUUGUAGAAUCAGAGUAAAAGAGAGGGGAAAAAAAAAUCAGGAUUUUCAUGGUUUAAACUUGACCUCUUCACACAGAAGUUCAAAGAAGUAAAAAUUAACACAACGUUGCCAUGGCAACCACAGACUCUUGUCACUAUGUUUUUUGUUGUUGGGAUAGCCACUGUUAGUUUAGUACUCCCUCUAGGCCCCGCAGAUUAGCAAGUAUGUUAUACACUAAAGGUCUCUGUGGCAGGCUGAAGUCAGUGUACCCACUCUACAGAUUUGAAAAUGGAGGCAGGGUAUUUGGUAAUUUACCUGAAGUCACACUGGGACUCUGAAACCUGAUUCUUUGUCUGGAUACAGAAGUUAAGAAGUUAUAGUCUCCAAUUAAUUAUCUUGUCUGAAUGAUUUUUUUUUCUCUAUCAACUCUACUAUCAAUAAAGAUCUAAUAUACACUUUCCUUUGACAACUUAUGUCAUACUGAGGUAUCUAUUUGGGACUGAAUAAAGCUCAAUUAAGAGAAAUUUAAGGGUCUGGUGGGUCAUGCCUUUAAUUUCGGUACUCAGGAAUCAGAGGUAGGUGGAUCUCGGUGAGUUCAAGGCCAGCCUGGACUACCUAUAGUAAGUUUGAGGCCAGCUUGUCUAUAUAUAGUGAGCUUAGGUCAAAAAUCUCUACAAAGUGAGAACCUGUCAAGAUAGAGAGAGAAAAUAGGGUUUAAAGUAGGUCCUGGGCAAUUUUACUUCUUUAUUGUAAAAUUAUAUUUAUCUUUCAUCUUCAAACUAGAGGUCAAGGUUGACGAAAACAGCCUAAACCAGUGAAGCUGAUUCAGAACAAAACAAGUGGUGUACAUAAGACCUUGAAAGCCAAGGUAGCCAGAUGCUAUGCUAUUGCCUAAGAAGGCAUGCCAUGCGGCUUUGGUAUGCUGUCUCGUGUUUUGUUCUUUAAAUCUUAAGUUACUUUCCUGAUUAGAACAUCAUUACUUUCUCUCUCUCUCUCUCUUUCUCUCUCUCUUUUCUUUCUUUCUUUCUUUCUUUCUCUUUCUUUCUUUCUUUCUUUCUUUCUUUCUUUCUUUCUUUCUUUCUUUCUUUCUUUCUUUCUUUCUUGAGACAGGGUUUCUCUGAGUAGCUCAACCUGC
rnacentral:lncRNA from 1 species